GUACUGCAGAAGAGUCACAGACCAGGACGAAACAGCGGUCCAGUAC
rnacentral:hammerhead_ribozyme from 1 species